rnacentral:lncRNA from 13 species
CAUGAGCCUUCCCUGUGGGUCCAGCCGACACGGUGUCUAGGUUCUGCAGCACACUUGGGUACUGCCUCACUGUGGGUCCCUGGGCUGGUCCCCUAUCUCUGGGCCUGUUUCCUGUUCUGUAAACUGAGGGGUUAGACAGACUCUCAAAAAGAUCUUCUGUCUCCAGCUCUCCCUCACGUCACUGCAAAUGUCAGGUGCCUUUCCUGAGUUGAGGGGAAUCGGGGGCAGCAUCUUACCUGGCUGUGGCCUUUGGCUGGAAGGCACCUGAUCCAUUUGCCUUUGCAGACUCCUGGGGCAUCUUUGGCUCUGUGUGGGCAGUCUUUCCAGGGAGGUGCCAGGCCUACAUUGUCCCCAGUCUACAUGCCUCCCCAUGGCACAAUGCUGCCUGUCUUUCAUUUUCAAGAUCUGGGUUAGAUAAACUGUCUGCUUUCUUCUCCUUCCUUCUCUUCUGCGAGGUUCAGCAAAUUCUGCCCCAUACAAAGCUGCCAGGUCAGUGGGAACCCGGCAUUUGUCAACAAGCUGAGCUCAAUGUGAUCUUCCAUGGGAACAACAGCCGAGACUACUUUCCAAAACAACUCACCCCACCCACGGGCUCACUCAGCACAUGUGGCAGGUUCCUGGGGAUGAGUUAAGAAAACAUUGCAAAGGAUGGGGGAGAACUCAGGUCUAAACAGAUGUGGGUGCUGGAUGAAGCCCCUUCUUCCUCCUGUUCACAGACAUCUCAGGAA